UGGUGUAGCGGUGGAAUGCGCAGAUAUCAGGAGGAACACCAAUGGCGAACGCAGAUCUCUGGGCCGUAACUGACGCUGAUGAGCGAAAGCAUGGGGAGCGAACAGGAUUAGAUACCCUGGUAGUCCAUGCCGUAAACGUUGGGAACUAGAUGCAGGGACCAUUCCACGGUCUCUGUGUCGCAGCUAACGCAUUAAGUUCCCCGCCUGGGGAGUACGGCCGCGAGGUUAAAACUCAGAGGAAUUGACGGGGGCCCGCACAAGCGGCGGAUCAUGCGGAUUAAUUCGAUGCAACGCGAAGAACCUUACCAAUGCUUGACAUAUACCGGAAACGGCUGGAAACAGUCGCCCCGCAAGGUCGGUAUACAGGUGGUGCAUGGUUGUCGUCAGCUCGUGUCGUGAGAUGUUGGGUUAAGUCCCGCAACGAGCGCAACCCUCGUUCUAUGUUGCCAGCACGUAAUGGUGGGAACUCAUAGGAGACUGCCGGGGUCAACUCGGAGGAAGGUGGGGAUGACGUCCAAUCAUCAUGCCCCUUAUGUCUUGGGCUUCACGCAUGCUACAAUGGCCGGUAGAAGGGCUGCAAUACGGU
rnacentral:rRNA from 1 species